GACGAACGCUGGCGGCGGGCUUAACACAUGCAAGUCGAACGGAAAGGCCCUGCUUUUGUGGGGUGCUCGAGUGGCGAACGGGUGAGUAACACGUGAGUAACCUGCCCUUGACUUUGGGAUAACUUCAGGAAACUGGGGCUAAUACCGGAUAGGAGCUCCUGCUGCAUGGUGGGGGUUGGAAAUUUUCGGCGGUUGGGGAUGGACGCGCGGCUUAUCAGCUUGUUGGUGGGGUAGGGGCUUACCAAGGCUUUGACGGGUAGCCGGCCUGAGAGGGUGACCGGCCACAUUGGGACUGAGAUACGGCCCAGAGUCCUACGGGAGGCAGUAGUGGGGAAUAUUGCACAAUGGGAGGAAGUCUGAUGAAGCAGCGCUGCGUGCGGGAUGACGGCCUUCGGGUUGUAAAACGCUUUAGCCUGUGACGAAGCGUGAGUGACGGUAAUGGGUAAAGAAGCACCGGCUAACUACGUG
rnacentral:rRNA from 1 species